rnacentral:rRNA from 1 species
UAAGAAGGUCCGGCUAACUUCGUGCCAGCAGCCGCGGUAAUACGAAGGGACCUAGCGUAGUUCGGAAUUACUGGGCUUAAAGAGUUCGUAGGUGGUUGAAAAAGUUGGUGGUGAAAUCCCAGAGCUUAACUCUGGAACUGCCAUCAAAACUUUUCAGCUAGAGUUUGAUAGAGGAAAGCAGAAUUUCUAGUGUAGAGGUGAAAUUCGUAGAUAUUAGAAAGAAUACCAAUUGCGAAGGCAGCUUUCUGGAUCAUUACUGACACUGAGGAACGAAAGCAUGGGUAGCGAAGAGGAUUAGAUACCCUCGUAGUCCAUGCCGUAAACGAUGUGUGUUAGACGUUGGAAAUUUAUUUUCAGUGUCGCAGCGAAAGCGAUAAACACACCGCCUGGGGAGUACGACCGCAAGGUUAAAACUCAAAUGAAUUGACGGGGACCCGCACAAGUAGUGGAGCAUGUGGUUUAAUUCGAAGAUACGCGCAGAACCUUACCAACACUUGACAUGUUCGUCGCGACUUUAAGAGAUUAAAGUUUUCGGUUCGGCCGGACGAAACACAGGUGCUGCAUGGCUGUCGUCAGCUCGUGUCGUGAGAUGUUGGGUUAAGUCCCGCAACGAGCGCAACCCUCACUUUUAGUUGCCAUCAUUUAGUUGGGCACUCUGAAAGAACUGCCAGUGAUAAGCUGGAGGAAGGUGGGGAUGACGUCAAGUCCUCAUGGCCCUUACGUGUUGGGCUACACACGUGCUACAAUGGUAUCUACAACAGGAAGCGAAACAGCGAUGUUAAGCAAAUCCUAAA